ACUAGGUAUUUGACCUAGACAAAGACUCUAUUAUAUCUCUCUCUAUAAAAUGAGUUUCUUCAUAAAAUUUUUGUAAAACAUAGAGACUGGAGAGACCUUUGGGGCAUCCGAAAAUUAAAGAGAAAAACCUUUGGAUCAUGGAGAUAUAAUAGACACAAGAUGGGGUGUCUAGGAGAGAGUAAAAGAGAAGAAGAAGAGGGUCUUCUUCUAGGAUUGUUAGUUUCAUCUCUUCUCUUCCUCCAUCUUGAGUUUUCUGAGAGCAUCUCAGAUUUGAAACUUCUCCUCCUACUUCUCAUCUUUAGAAGAGUCCAAAUCAAGAAAGAGGCACCUGAUCAACCAUCGAAGAAGGAUCAGCGCAGUACUAGCAUACUGUGCUGAUUUCCUGAAGCAGGACUUUUGAUCGAGAUUCAUGGGCUCGUGUGGAUGACUCCUAG
rnacentral:lncRNA from 1 species